rnacentral:tRNA from 1 species
GCGCCCGUAGCUCAGUAGGAUAGAGCGUCGGACUUCGAAUCCGCAGGUCGCCCGUUCGAGUCGGGCCGGGCGCGCCA